rnacentral:tRNA from 1 species
GAAUCUGGAGCGGGAAACGAGUCUCGAACUCGCGACCUCAACCUUGGCAAGGUUGCGCUCUACCAACUGAGCUAUUCCCG